GCCUGGCAGGCCACGACAAACGGCCCCAACUCCGCUCCACCUCCUGCGGCGGAUAUCGCAUGAUUCUCCCAUCCACGUGGCACGCUCCAGUGAUGACCACGAGUCCACUCCACUACUCUUCGCCGCAUAUUCUGCCUGACCCCUGGGCAGCCCACUACGAGGUGGUUACAAACAUCACCAUCAGUCCGUUACCCCCUUCGCCUAUAAAAGGGAGGACCAGAUACGUUAUUCUAUAAGCUCAUUUCUUAUCUUGAAACUCUGCUAAAUUCUUCAUUCGAGCGCUCCAUUCUUGUUGAGGCAGAGAACUGACUUGAGCAUCGGAGGGUCUUGCCGGAGCAACCCCACCUCCG
rnacentral:lncRNA from 1 species